CAGUAGCCGCGGGAAUACAGAGGGUGCGAGCGUUAAUCGGAUUUACUGGGCGUAAAGCGUGCGUAGGCGGCUUCUUAAGUCGGAUGUGAAAUCCCUGAGAUUAACUUAGGAAUUGCAUUCGAUACUGGGAAGCUAGAGUAUGGGAGAGGAUGGUAGAAUUCCAGGUGUAGCGGUGAAAUGCGUAGAGAUCUGGAGGAAUACCGAUGGCGAAGGCAGCCAUCUAGCCUAAUACUGACGCUGAGGUACGAAAGCAUGGGGAGCAAACAGGAUUAGAUACCCCUGUAGUCCCUGUCUCUUAUAA
rnacentral:rRNA from 1 species